UACGGAGGGUGCGAGCGUUGUCCGGAAUUACUGGGCGUAAAGCGCGCGCAGGUGGUCUUUCAAGUCAGUGGUGAAAGCCCGGAGCUCAACUCCGGAAAUGCCAUUGAAACUGUAAGACUUGAGGAUGAGAGAGGUGAGUGGAAUUCCCAGUGUAGAGGUGAAAUUCGUAGAUAUUGGGAAGAACACCGGUGGCGAAGGCGGCUCACUGGCUCAUAUCUGACGCUCAGGCGCGACAGCGUGGGGAUCAAACAGG
rnacentral:rRNA from 1 species